rnacentral:rRNA from 1 species
ACUCCUACGGGAGGCAGCAGUGGGGAAUAUUGCACAAUGGGCAGCAAGCCUGAUGCAGCCAUGCCGCGUGUGUGAAGAAGGCCUUCGGGUUGAUAAGCACUUUCAGUCGUGAGGAGUAGUGAGUUAAUAGCUUGCUAUUAUUUGACGUUAGCGACAGAAGAAGCACCGGCUAACUCCGUGCCAGCAGCCGCGGUAAUACGGAGGGUGCGAGCGUUAAUCGGAAUUACUGGGCGUAAAGCGCAUGCAGGUGGUUUGUUAAGUCAGAUGUGAAAAGCCC